rnacentral:lncRNA from 1 species
GGAAAGCUGGAAAAGCUGACAAGUAUACCUGUUUCAACUGUGGUGAAAAGGGACACUCUGCAUCUGAAUGCAAGAAAGCCAAGAAAGAAAAAGAAAAAGCCUUUAUCACCAAGAAGGGAAACUGGACAGAUACAUCUGAUUCAGAAGAAGAAGUCAAUUAUGCUCUGAUGGCAAACACUGACAACAACUCUGAAUCUACUGCAAAGGUACCUCAUUC